AUCUCUUUCUCAGAUACUGCAGAUGAUUUGGAUGCUACGGUGUUUUCUCCUCAUUGCUCCAGACUGCUGAUUUGUAAGUCUCUCAGCAUGCUUUAGAAGAUUCUCUUAAAGGCAGAACUGAAAGUUCCUUUAUAAAAAUCCAACCCUCAUGCUGUGAUCAUCAGCGUUAAAUGCACUGAUGUGACGCAACGGGGAAGCAAUUAUAAUUCGAACAGGUUGGCUGCUUUCGUUUGUGCCAGAAACCUACUACCAACUGCUGCUGAACCAAAAUGCAGGAAGCCCCAUGCAGAAA